rnacentral:rRNA from 1 species
UACAGGGGGUGCAAACGUUGCUCGGAAUCAUUGGGCGUAAAGCGCACGUAGGCGGUUCGUUAUGUCGGAUGUGAAAGCCCUUGGCUUAACCGAGGAAGUGCAUCCGAAACUGGCGAGCUAGAGUACGAAAGAGGAUCGCGGAAUUCCCGGUGUAGAGGUGAAAUUCGUAGAUAUCGGGAGGAACACCGGUGGCGAAGGCGGCGAUCUGGGUCGAUACUGACGCUCAGGCACGAAAGCGUGGGGAGCAAACAGG